rnacentral:rRNA from 1 species
GAUGAACGCUGGCGGCGUGCCUAAUACAUGCAAGUCGAGCGAACAGACGAGGAGCUUGCUCCUCUGACGUUAGCGGCGGACGGGUGAGUAACACGUGGAUAACCUACCUAUAAGACUUGGAUAACUUCGGGAAACCGGAGCUAAUACCGGAUAAUAUAUUUAACCGCAUGGUUCAAUAGUGAAAGACGGUUUUGCUGUCACUUAUAGAUGUAUCCGCGCCGCAUUAGCUAGUUGGUAAGGUAACGGCUUACCAAGGCAACGAUGCGUAGCCGACCUGAGAGGGUGAUCGGCCACACUGGAACUGAGACACGGUCCAGACUCCUACGGGAGGCAGCAGUAGGGAAUCUUCCGCAAUGGGCGAAAGCCUGACGGAGCAACGCCGCGUGAGUGAUGAAGGUCUUCGGAUCGUAAAACUCUGUUAUUAGGGAAGAACAAAUGUGUAAGUAACUAUGCACGUCUUGACGGUACCUAAUCAGAAAGCCACGGCUAACUACGUG